UACGUAGGUGGCAAGCGUUGUCCGGAAUUAUUGGGCGUAAAGGGCGUGUAGGCGGUAAAAUAAGUCUGAUGUGAAAUCUCAUAGCUCAACUAUGAAACUGCAUUGGAAACUGUUUAACUAGAGUGUCGGAGAGGAAAGCGGAAUUCCAUGUGUAGCGGUGAAAUGCGUAGAUAUAUGGAGGAACACCAGUGGCGAAGGCGGCUUUCUGGACGACUACUGACGCUGAGGCGCGAAAGCGUGGGGAGCAAACAGG
rnacentral:rRNA from 1 species